rnacentral:misc_RNA from 1 species
UAUAAGUUUCCGUGUUUCGUUUUGUUCAGUUUUGAGAGAACUAUCUCUCAUAUAUAAAUGUAUGUUCUUUGAAAACUAGAUAACAGUGUAGCUCAUAUUUUUUAAUUUUUAGUUUGUUAAGUUAGAAAGGGCGCACGGUGGAUGCCUUGACACUAGGAGUCGAUGAAGGACGGGACUAACGCCGAUAUGCUUCGGGGAGCUGUAAGUAAGCUUUGAUCCGAAGAUUUCCGAAUGGGGAAACCCGGA